rnacentral:ncRNA from 1 species
CCAYUAAUUAUUGUUUUUUUACUACUUUUUUAAUAAAAGUUUUAUCCUUGCUUUUUAUUCUUUUUAAUUUUGCUUUACAUACUAAUUUUGUUUUCUAAAUGAUUAAAUUUGUAGUGUUUUAUAUUGUUUGUCAAGUUAUCUUGGAUACAGUAAAUUUUAUAUUCCUGGCUAAUAUCGUGCCAGCAGUCKCGGUUAUACGUUAGGGGARAAAGACUAUUUUUGGCUAGMAGUUAAUUUUAUUUUUUAUUUUUGUUUUAAUUUUUAGGUGAAAUUUAUAAUUAAUUKUAUUUUAUUCUUUUUGUUCUGUGAAACUUGGARUUAAGACAAGGAUUAGAUACCCUUUUAUACCAUGUGUUAAUUUAUUAUGCUUGGGUAGUAUUUGUUAAGUUCUUGAAACCUAAAGGAUUUGGCGGUAUUUUAGUCCUUUCAGAGGAACCUGUCCCUUAAUCGACAUUCCACGAUUUUAUUUACUUAAUUUUGUAUUCAGUUUGUAUACCUCCGUCAUAAGAAUAUCUUUUUAGAGUUAAUUUUCUUUUUUAUUAAAUAUAUAUAUGUCAGGUCAAGGUGCAGCUUAUAGUUAAGUGGAGAUGGGUUACAUUAAAAUUAUUUAUACGGAUGUACAUUUUUAUUUUGUGCUUAAGGUGGAUUUGAAAGUAAAUUUAUUUAUUAGGUUUUUUGAUUUUGGCUCUGAAAUAUGCACACAUCGCCCGUYGCUCUCAUAAUAAGGUGAGAUAAGUCGUAACAUAGUAGGCRUAUCGGAAGAUGUGCCUGGUAAKCA